CCCGUCUUCUCGAGUGUUUUCCCCUAUUACCGGGCUUAAAGCGUUCGUAGCUGGCUUGUUAAGUCUCUGGGGAAAUCUUCCGGCUCAACCGGAAGGCGUCUCAGGGAUACUGGCAGGCUAGGGACCGGAAGAGGUGAGAGGUACUCCAGGGGUAGGAGUGAAAUCCUGUAAUCCUUGGGGGACCACCUGUGGCGAAGGCGUCUCACCAGGACGGCUCCGACAGUGAGGAACGAAAGCUGGGGGAGCAAACCG
rnacentral:rRNA from 1 species